GCCCGGGUGCUGGAACUGGCAGACAGAGGCGGCUUAAACCCGCCUGCCUUCGGGCGUGAGGGUUCGAAUCCCUCCCCGGGCA
rnacentral:tRNA from 1 species